rnacentral:rRNA from 1 species
UACGGGGGGGGCAAGCGUUGUUCGGAAUUACUGGGCGUAAAGCGCACGUAGGCGGCUUGGCAUGUCGGGUGUGAAAUCCCCGGGCUCAACCUGGGAACUGCAUCCGAAACUGCCUUGCUCGAGUAUGGGAGAGGGAAGUGGAAUUUCCGGUGUAGCGGUGAAAUGCGUAGAUAUCGGAAGGAACAUCAGUGGCGAAGGCGACUUCCUGGACCAAUACUGACACUGAGGAGCGAAAGCCAGGGGAGCAAACGGG